GGCAACAAUCCCCUCCCUGCUCCUGCUGGACACAGCAUUUCUGGCCCCAGCCAGGCUGCUUUUGGCUUUCCUUGCCCUCUGGGCACUGCUGGCUCCUGCUCAGUUGUUUGCCUAUUACACCCCCAGGUCCCUUUCUGCAGGCAGCUUUCAGCUUCCCCAAGCCUGUAGUGUUGCUUGGGGUCGUUGUGGCCCGAGUGCAGGACCUGGCAUUUGGCCUUAUUGAGGCUCAUCCCAUUGACACUGGCCACGAAUCCAACCUAGCCGAGUCCCUCUGCAGAGCCUCCUCAGCCUCCUGCAGAUCAACUCCGCCACCUCCCUUGGUGCCAUCUGCAGACUUGCUGCUGGUGUAAUAGGUAAUUGUAAUUGUUUAAUAAAGAAACAUAGAGUAUUAAAUAUGCCUAGCAGCAAACAGCUGUUGCAAAUCAGGAAAUAUGCCUAACUGCAGAGGUCAUGCUAUAUAUGUAAUGUGCAAAGAAUAAGCUAGCUAAUUGCUAAAAAUUUCAAGGACUAAGCUUUAGGUACAUCCUUAAUUUUGAGAAAACAUGCCACAUAUGGGAUUCGGGAUGUUAACCAGCCAAAGGAAACCCAUAUUUGGAGACGGGUUAACCAGAGGACACCUGAGGAGCACUGCUUACUUCAUCCUCAACGACCACCAGAAGGGAAGGAAGACCCUAACCCAAAAGAAGGAACAUGCGCAGAAAGGAUGGAUUUAUGUAAUUUGCAGGGCGGAACAAUGCAGACAACACAGUAUAAAUAUAGGCUAAUGAAGAGACUUGUCACAGCAGUUGGCGGAGCGGUGACUCCCCUGUCGUCCAGCGCUGUAACUUUGCUCAUACUCUACUUGCCUAACAGAAUAAAUUUGUAAUCUGGACACUUGGA